rnacentral:tRNA from 1 species
GUUUUUAUAAAUGAUUGUAGAUAAAAAAAUUUUAAAAAAUUAACUGAAUAAUUUAUAUAUUUUUUAUAAAGAAUAUUUGAAAAAUAUUAAAUAUUUUGAAUUUUGAUCACUUUGAUAUAUAUAAAUUUAGAGAAUUUAAAUUCUAUAUAAAGAUAUUUUUUUUAGAUUGUUAAAUUUAAAUCUUUAAAAACU